AUUUGGAAUACGAGUGAAAAAGAUUUCCCUCCAGCAGCAUAAAAAACGUUUCUUUUCUAAUUCGGGAUACUGGUGAAAAAUCUCCUCUCAAGCAAUACCAAAAGACUGAUUACUACUUUCUACUAAGGGAAAAAGAAACACGUGUAAUCAGGGAUAUCAGUGAAAAAUCCCUCUCACAAGUAAUAUAAAAGGUGACACAAAGUAUUUAAAGCGCUACAUUCUUCAUUUAUUUUUUGGUCGAUGCAUAAGUCGCCUUAUCUCUUUCUUGAUGUUGGACAUCUUUUCUGCCGGGAGGCAUAGGAUCUGUCGAACGGAGUCGACUCGGAAUCCUAAGAAUUCCAUUUGUUGUGAAGGAAUUAGAACCGACUUCUUCCAGUUCACUAGGAAGCCCAGGUUCUGGAUAAGAUGUAGGGUCCACUUUAAAUGCACUAGCAGUAGGGACCGUGUCCCAGAGAGCAGGAGGAUGUCGUCCAAAUAAAUGAUAAGGCAGACUCCGUGUAGUCUGAGAAAGGCCACCACUG